rnacentral:rRNA from 1 species
UACGUAGGGUGCAGGCGUUAAUCGGAAUUACUGGGCGUAAAGCGUGCGCAGGCGGUUUCUUAAGUCAGAUGUGAAAGCCCCGGGCUUAACCUGGGAACUGCGUUUGAAACUGGGAGACUUGAGUGUGGCAGAGGGGGGUGGAAUUCCGACGUGUAGCAGUGGAAAUGCGUAGAUAUGAUGGAGGAACACCGAUGGCGAAGGCAGCCCCCUGGGUUAACACUGACGCUCAUGCACGAAAGCGUGGGGAGCAAACAGG